ensembl:snRNA U6 U6 spliceosomal RNA
GUGCUUGCUUUGGCAGCACAUAUACUAAAGCUGGAACGAUACAGAGAAGAUUUGCAUGGCCCCUGUGCAAGGAUAACUCACAAAUUCAUGCGGCCUUCCAUAUUUUU